rnacentral:rRNA from 1 species
GACGAACGCUGGCGGCGUGCUUAACACAUGCAAGUCGAACGGUGAAGCGCCUUUCUUUUUGGUGGGUGUGGAUGAGUGGCGAACGGGUGAGUAACACGUGAGUAACCUGCCCCCUUCUUCUGGAUAACCGCAUGAAAGUGUGGCUAAUACGGGAUAUUCUGGGUCUGUCGCAUGAUGGGUCUGGGAAAGAUAUUGUUUCGGUGGGGGAUGGGCUCGCGGCCUUUAAGCUUGUUGGUGGGGUGAGGGCCUACCAAGGCGGUGACGGGUAGCCGGCCUGAGAGGGUGGACGGUCACACUGGGACUGAGACACGGCCCAGCCUCCUACGGGAGGCAGCAGUGGGGAAUAUUGCACAAUGGGCGCGAGCCUGAUGCAGCGACGCCGCGUGAGGGAUGGAGGCCUUCGGGUUGUGAACCUCUUUCGCCAGUGAAGCAGGCCUGCCUCGUUUGUGGGUGGGUUGACGGUAGCUGGAUAAGAAGCGCCGGCUAACUACGUG